AGGGUAUGUUGAUCAAGUAAGAGCUGCUAACUUAUUACUUUAGUGGUUUAAAUCCAUUUAUGCCCUU
rnacentral:tRNA from 1 species